CGACCUCAGAGCAGGCGAGACUACCCGCUGAAUUUAAGCAUAUUACUAAGCGGAGGAAAAGAAACUAACAAGGAUUCCCCCAGUAGCGGCGAGCGAACAGGGAAGAGUCCAGCACCGAACCCCGCAGGCUGCCGCCUGUCGUGGCAUGUGGUGUUUGGGAGGGUCCACUACCCCGACGCCUCGCGCCGAGCCCAAGUCCAACUUGAAUGAGGCCACGGCCCGUAGAGGGUGCCAGGCCCGUAGCGGCCGGUGCGAGCGUCGGCGGGACCUCUCCUUCGAGUCGGGUUGCUUGAGAGUGCAGCUCCAAGUGGGUGGUAAACUCCAUCUGAGACUAAAUAUGACCACGAGACCGAUAGCGAACAAGUACCGUGAGGGAAAGUUGAAAAGAACUUUGAAGAGAGAGUUCAAAAGUACGUGAAACCGUUCUGGGGUAAACGUGAGAAGUCCGAAAGGUCGAACGGGUGAGAUUCACGCCCAUCCGGCCACUGGCCUCCGCCCUCGGCAGAUGGGGCCGGCCGCCCGCGCGGAGCAAUCCGCGGCGGGGUCGUGUCCGGUUGCCUUUCCACUCGCCGCGGGGUGGGGCCGUUCCGGUGUGCGGUGGGCCGCACUUCUCCCCUAGUAGGACGUCGCGACCCGCUGGGUGCCGGCCUACGGCCCGGGUGCGCAGCCUGUCCUUCCGCGGGCCUCGGUUCGCGUCUGUUGGGCAGAGCCCCGGUGUCCUGGCUGGCUGCCCGGCGGUAUAUCUGGAGGAGUCGAUUCGCCCCUUUGGGCGCUCGGGCUCCCGGCAAGCGCGCGCGGUUCUUCCCGGAUGACGGACCUACCUGGCCCGGCCCCGGACCCGCGCCGCUGUUGGCUCGGGAUGCUCUCGGGCGGAAUAAUCGCUCCCGUCAGCGGCGCUUCAGCUUUGGACAAUUUCACGACCCGUCUUGAAACACGGACCAAGGAGUCUAACAUGUGCGCGAGUCAUUGGGCUGUACGAAACCUAAAGGCGUAAUGAAAGUGAAGGUCUCGCCUUGCGCGGGCCGAGGGAGGAUGGGGCUUCCCCGCCCUUCACGGGGCGGCGGCCUCCGCACUCCCGGGGCGUCUCGUCCUCAUUGCGAGGUGAGGCGCACCUAGAGCGUACACGUUGGGACCCGAAAGAUGGUGAACUAUGCCUGGCCAGGACGAAGUCAGGGGAAACCCUGAUGGAGGUCCGUAGCGAUUCUGACGUGCAAAUCGAUCGUCGGAGCUGGGUAUAGGGGCGAAAGACUAAUCGAACCAUCUAGUAGCUGGUUCCCUCCGAAGUUUCCCUCAGGAUAGCUGGUGCUCGUACGAGUCUCAUCCGGUAAAGCGAAUGAUUAGAGGCCUUGGGGCCGAAACGACCUCAACCUAUUCUCAAACUUUAAAUGGGUGAGAUCUCCGGCUUGCUUGAUAUGCUGAAGCCGCGAGCAAACGACUCGGAUCGGAGUGCCAAGUGGGCCACUUUUGGUAAGCAGAACUGGCGCUGUGGGAUGAACCAAACGCCGAGUUAAGGCGCCCGAAUCGACGCUCAUGGGAAACCAUGAAAGGCGUUGGUUGCUUAAGACAGCAGGACGGUGGCCAUGGAAGUCGGAAUCCGCUAAGGAGUGUGUAACAACUCACCUGCCGAAGCAACUAGCCCUGAAAAUGGAUGGCGCUGAAGCGUCGUGCCUAUACUCGGCCGUCAGUCUGGCAGUCAUGGCCGGUCCUUGCGGCCGGCCGCGAAGCCCUGACGAGUAGGAGGGUCGCGGCGGUGGGCGCAGAAGGGUCUGGGCGUGAGCCUGCCUGGAGCCGCCGUCGGUGCAGAUCUUGGUGGUAGUAGCAAAUACUCCAGCGAGGCCCUGGAGGGCUGACGCGGAGAAGGGUUUCGUGUGAACAGCCGUUGCACACGAGUCAGUCGAUCCUAAGCCCUAGGAGAAAUCCGAUGUUGAUGGGGGCCGUCAUAGCAUGAUGCGCUUUGUGCUGGCCCCCGUUGGGCGAAAGGGAAUCCGGUUCCUAUUCCGGAACCCGGCAGCGGAACCGAUACAAGUCGGGCCCCUCUUUUAGAGAUGCUCGUCGGGGUAACCCAAAAGGACCCGGAGACGCCGUCGGGAGAUCGGGGAAGAGUUUUCUUUUCUGCAUGAGCGUUCGAGUUCCCUGGAAUCCUCUAGCAGGGAGAUAGGGUUUGGAACGCGAAGAGCACCGCAGUUGCGGCGGUGUCCCGAUCUUCCCCUCGGACCUUGAAAAUCCGGGAGAGGGCCACGUGGAGGUGUCGCGCCGGUUCGUACCCAUAUCCGCAGCAGGUCUCCAAGGUGAAGAGCCUCUAGUCGAUAGAAUAAUGUAGGUAAGGGAAGUCGGCAAAUUGGAUCCGUAACUUCGGGAUAAGGAUUGGCUCUGAGGAUCGGGGCGUGUCGGGCUUGGUCGGGAAGUGGGUCAGCGCUAACGUGCCGGGCCUGGGCGAGGUGAGUGCCGUAGGGGUGCCGGUAAGUGCGGGCGUUUAGCGCGGGCGUGGUCUGCUCUCGCCGUUGGUCGGCCUCGUGCUGGCCGGCGGUGCAGGAUGCGCGCGCCUGCGCGGCGUUCGCGCCCCGGUGCUUCAACCUGCGUGCAGGAUCCGAGCUCGGUCCCGUGCCUUGGCCUCCCACGGAUCUUCCUUGCUGCGAGGCCGCGUCCGCCUUAGCGUGCUCCUCCGGGGGCGCGCGGGUGCGCGGAUUCUCUUCGGCCGCCAUUCAACGAUCAACUCAGAACUGGCACGGACUGGGGGAAUCCGACUGUCUAAUUAAAACAAAGCAUUGCGAUGGCCCUAGCGGGUGUUGACGCAAUGUGAUUUCUGCCCAGUGCUCUGAAUGUCAACGUGAAGAAAUUCAAGCAAGCGCGGGUAAACGGCGGGAGUAACUAUGACUCUCUCUUCCUUCUGGCCCGCGCCCUUCCGGAACGCCUGCUUCGCGCGCGGACGUCCCUUCUCCCGAAAACGGCUGCACCAACAUCCCCCGCUGACUUUCGCCCCAUUACGGUCUGCUCGGUGUUGGCGCGGACCUUUCACAAGGUUCUCGCGUCACGCCUGAUGCGCGCAUGUGCUGUGGACGAACGUCAGCGGGCAUUCAUCCCUCGGGAUGGGAUGUUGGAAAAUACCUUCAUCUUGGACACUGCUCUCACCGACGCAGUUCGCUCCUGCCGCUCUGUCUUUGUGGCAUCGAUCGACGUAUCUAAGGCAUUCGAUUCGGUAGAUCAUGCUGCCCUUCGCCCCGUGCUGAAGGCGCAUGGCCUGCCGGAUUGCUUUGUCGGGUAUGUCGAGCGGUGCUACGAGGGCAGCACGACAGUGAUAGCGGACGGCGCCGGCGUGGGCGUGUCUGUGCAGCCAGCACGGGGCGUUCGCCAGGGCGAUCCCCUCUCCCCCCUCCUGUUCAACUUUGCGGUGGACUACGUUUUAGGCCAACUGCCCUCCCACAUCGGAGCUCGGAUCCUCGGUCGCAGAGUCAACGCUGCGGCCUUUGCAGAUGACGUCUUGCUGUUUGCAGCGACCCCGAGGGGCUUGCAGUCCCUCAUCGACGCAGCUACCGCAGCCCUCGCCCACCUGGGGCUGCAGAUCAACGCCCGGAAGUGUUUCACCCUCGCCUUAGUCGCGUCAGGGCGCGAGAAGAAGGUGAAGGUGGACAGCAAUGUCACCUUCACAGCAGGCAAUACCACCAUGCCUGCCCUGCGUGUGGGUGAAACCUUCCGGUACCUGGGGCUGCAAUUUUCCACGGCGGGUCGCUGUGUCUUCAAUCCACGUAGCCACCUGGUGGAGCAGCUUGACGUCAUCUCCCGAGCUCCGCUGAAGCCGCAACAGCGCCUCCACGCUCUCACCAACGUACUUCUCCCUGGCCUGUACCACGGGCUGGCCCUCAGCCGCACCCGGGUGGGUGCAUUGAAGUCGGCCGACGUUACCAUCCGGGCCGCCGUCAGGAGAUGGUUCCGCCUUCCGGCGGACACCCCUCUGGGAUACUUCCACGCUCCUGUUGCCCAGGGGGGCCUCGGCAUUCCAUCUUGCCGAUGGAUGGGUCCGACCCUCCGUCGGUCCCGUCUCCUGGCGCUGAAGAGGAUAGGGCCAGCCUGCGACGGUGCAGGCAUGGAUGAGGUACAGCGUGAGAUCGAGGUGCUGGAGCGCCACCUAAUGUGGGAGGGCCACCUCCUCAAAUCGUCAACGCAGGUUGGGGAAAUGUGGGCGGCGCGCCUACACAUCGCCAUUGACGGUGCGGCACUGUCAUCUUCUGCCGCCGUCAGUGGCCAACAUCAGUGGGUCGCCGACACCAGUCGCCUGCUAUCUGGGCGUGAAUACAUCGACGCCCUCCGCGCCCGCAUCAACGCCUUCCCUACGAAGGCACGGCGCAGUCGCGGGCGGGAGGCGGACACCAGAUGCCGCGCGGGGUGCCAGGCCGUGGAGACCGCCAACCACGUACUUCAGGCUUGCUUUAGGACGCACGGGUCCCGGGUCAAGCGCCAUGACGCUGUAGUGCGUUAUGUCGCCCGUGGACUCGCGCAGAGGGGCUUCAAUGUCUCUGUGGAGCCCCACCUCCGAACACCUGAGGGCAUCCGCAAGCCUGACGUGGUGGCGGUCAAAGACGGCAUCGCCCGCGUGGUCGACGCCCAGAUAGUCGGAGACCACCUCCGGCUCGACUGGUGUCACUCCCAGAAGGCGGCCUACUACGACACGCCGUCCAUCCGGCGUGCCAUCUCCAACCUGCACCGUGACGUUGAGGAGGUGAUUGUGUCCACCGCGACGUUGAACUGGAGGGGUGUAUGGUCUCCAGCGUCGGCGAGGGAUCUCGCCGCCUUAGGCUUCCGACCCCGAGAACUGGCGGUGCUGAGCACAAGAACACUACAGAGCUGCUGCAAAAGUUACAAGAUUUUCGAGCGUAUGACGGCUCCUAGCCCGAAGCAGCGUGUCGGCGUCGGCUAGGCUGCUGGUUAUUUUUCUUCGCCUUGACUCCUGGGGCCUAUCCACAGGAGGAAUAAACCGUCUUUGUUCUUCCUUCUUUGUGUCUUUA